UACGUAGGGGGCAAGCGUUGUCCGGAUUUAUUGGGCGUAAAGAGCGUGUAGGCGGCUUUGCAAGUCCGUUGUGAAAACUCGAGGCUCAACCUCGAGACGCCGGUGGAAACUGCAAAGCUAGAGUCCGGAAGAGGAGAGUGGAAUUCCUGGUGUAGUGGUGAAAUGCGCAGAUAUCAGGAAGAACACCAAUGGCGAAGGCAGCUCUCUGGGACGGUACUGACGCUGAGACGCGAAAGCGUGGGGAGCGAACAGG
rnacentral:rRNA from 1 species